CUAAAAUGAGAUCACAGUGAAUUAGGGUGGGUCCCUACUCCAAUGUGACUUACAUCCUUAUAAGAAGAUGGCCAGAUGGGGACAGAAACCCAAGGAGAUGCCUUGUGAGAUUGAAGUGAUAUAUCUAAUGGACCAAGGGACACCAAGAACAGCUGGCAACACCAGAAGAUAGAGAGGAAAUUCCUUCCUUCAGCGGUGUCCUCCACCCAGCUCUGCACCCCAGCUGACUGCUUUCCAUGACAAAAGGCAAGGCCUCCGUGGUGACCGGUUCUUGGCCCCCAGAAACCAGCAAAUCCCUGCCUCAGAACUAGAACAAACCUUCCAGCACCCGCCCUGGAGCCAGAGUGCCUGGACCAGAUCCUGGCUCUGCAACUAUCUGCGUGACCACCUUGGGGGAGUUACCAUCUUGGAGUCACACAGCCCUCACAAGUACCCUGGACAUGAAUAACACUCCUCACAUCUAAUGAUGACAACUGAAGUCCAGAGAGGUCCAGGAAUGCCUGUGAGCCCACAGCCCAGAAAAGGUUGAAGCCAGUAUCCAAUCUAUUGUUUCUGCUCUUGAAAACAAGAAAUGCCUCAUCUCUGAAUAAAGGGCUUGCUCUGUUGGCAAGGCAGGAGGAUAUACCAAUCACCCUAUCAGGUUCCCCAAAAAAACCCUUUAUCUACAAAUCAAAGAGCAGUAUCUCCAUGUCUUACUCAACUAGAUCUACAAUGAGUAGCUAAUCAGUGUCACCUUCAAAUCACAAUGGCAAAUAUUUUAUUUCAUGGUUGUGCAAAAUAAGAAACAGAAGCCUGGAGUUCUGGAGAGCCAGUGUUUUUGUCUACAGGCUACUGCUUCUGAAUAAUACUAGUGAUACCUCUGCUCAUUUCCAGGAUAUCUGAUUUAUAAAAUUAGGACGAAAGUACUUUGGGUUUAGCCAAAUUAGGGAGGGUGGGGAAAAGAUUCCUGGAAUAGCAUCUCUGGUUCCACAGUGGUUUAUCUCUACUCUGGUUAAUCACUUUGAAAUUAAUGGGGCCUCAGGGCCUUGUGGUUGGGGAAUGGCAUGAAAAUGCACAGAGAGAAUUUCACAUUUUACUGC